AUUGAACGCUGGCGGCACGCUUUACACAUGCAAGUCGAACGGUAACAGGCCGCAAGGUGCUGACGAGUGGCGAACGGGUGAGUAAUGCAUCGGAACGUGCCCAGUCGUGGGGGAUAACGCAGCGAAAGCUGCGCUAAUACCGCAUACGAUCUAUGGAUGAAAGCGGGGGACCGUAAGGCCUCGCGCGAUUGGAGCGGCCGAUGUCAGAUUAGGUAGUUGGUGGGGUAAAGGCUCACCAAGCCAACGAUCUGUAGCUGGUCUGAGAGGACGACCAGCCACACUGGGACGGAGACACGGCCCAGACUCCUACGGGAGGCAGCAGUGGGGAAUUUUGGACAAUGGGCGCAAGCCUGAUCCAGCAAUGCCGCGUGCGGGAAGAAGGCCUUCGGGUUGUAAACUGCUUUUGUACGGAACGAAAAGGCUCUGGUUAAUACCUGGGGCUCAUGACGGUACCGUAAGAAUAAGCACCGGCUAACUACGUGCCAGCCGCCGCGGUAAGAC
rnacentral:rRNA from 1 species